CUUCUCUCAAGAAUACGAUUCUGCGUAUUCUACAAUCGUCUCGCAUUUCUCUCGUUUCCCACUCUCCACAAAUCUUGCAACCUGCCUACGACGAGAUGGAUCGAUUGCAGAAAGUUUUGAAGAAAUUGGACGAGACCAGCUGCAGCAAGAUCAGGACGGAGGUGAAUGCUUUGGAUGAACUCAUAAAAGAGGCAGUUUGGGAAUUCGAAGAUUUACUCGAAUCCGAUCUCUUACCUCAGAUUCUUCCACAACUCGAAAGCGAGAGACACAACUUGUCUUUCUGUGUAGAUCUGCAGAGUCUGCAACACCAUGUUGAUUGCUUCGUCGAGAUGGUGAAGAUGAUGGAGGAAGAGUACUUCAUUGAAGUAAAGAAUAUGCCUGAAGAAGAAGGCGAGCCUAUUUCAUCAAGAAUUGAUUCUGGUGGAAUGAUCAAGUCAAAGAUGGUUGGAUUAUCUUAUGAAUUUCAACAGCCAGAGAUUAUCUUCUUGAAGGAAAUAACAAUCUACCCUAUUCGAUUAUUGGGAUGGCGGGCGUUGGAAAGACAACUCUUGCUAAACAUAUUUUUGAAGAUCCAUCAAUUCAGAGCCAUUUUGAGUUUCGAGCAUGGGUCAGAGUGGGCAGAAAAUGCGAAUUUGAUGAACUAUUACUAAGCGUUCUAGCACAAGUGGAUCCCAACGCUUACGAAAUGCUUACCCAAGGAGAUGAUGAUGAGGAAUUAGUUGGACUAUUGAAAGAAAUAUUGAAGGGAAAGAAAUGUCUCCUCAUGUUGGAUGAUGUUUGGGAGACACAAGCAAUAAGUCGCAUGAUAAAUUGCUUGCACGAAGAGAAUACUCUUGGAUGGAUUCAAUACUUAGUUACAAGUAGACAAUGGAUAUUCCGGCAACAUGAGAGCAUAAGAGUGACCUUGUUGUAUGAAGAAGAUAGUAAGAAAUUACUUGGUGAGAAGGUGUUUAGUGAAGACGGUUUCCCUCUCCAACUUGAGGAACUUGGAGAGAAGAUUGCAGAGAAAUGUGAAGGCCUUCCUCUUAUGAUAGUCACGGUUGCAGAGCUCCUAUCAAAAGCCGACAAGACCCCAGAAUACUGGACUGAGAUAGCCUACAAACAACACAACUCACUUUUCGAGGAUGCAUAUAAUCAAAUAUCAGAGGUACUUUUCCCAAGUUAUGACUACUUACCCCAACAUUUAAAAAUGUUCUUCCUCUAUAUGGGAGCUUUCCCUCCUUAUGCUGAUCAGACACCACUCGAUAUUAAUUGUCUUUCGAGAGUUGAGGGAUUUCUUGAACUGAAUGAUGAAAAAAGUUUUUUGGAAAAGCUUUAUGAGGAGUAUCAUCUUGUUCUCGACACAGAAAAUUCUUGGUAUUCGAGUAGACAGUAUCGCGUGCAUUCUUGUUGGCAACACUUAUGUAAGGUAGAAGCUAGUAGGAUCAAGUUUCUACAUGUCUUACGAGGUUGUGAUGAUGUGACAAAAGACCAGCGUCGCUUGUGUGCCCAUUACAACAAUUUAUUUGCCUUCAAACAAGUGUAUGAUUCAAUUUAUUAUGAUGACGACGAUGAUGAUGAAAGAAACCCAUCGAGUUGCUUGGGUUAUAUCUCCCAACUCCAGAAUCUGGAGAGACUUGAAUAUUGGGUUAGCAAUCCUGAGAUAAAGUAUGAGUGUAAUACGAUUCCUCUUUCAAUGUUUCCAUCAAAUCUGAAGGUGUUAACGUUGUCUGGGUUAGGGGGGUAUCCUUGGAAUUACAUGAAUGACAUUGGUUCGCUGCUGCCAAAUCUCGAGAUUCUCAUAUUAAACUGCUAUGCAUUUCGAGGCCCAGAGUGGGACAUAACACCGGGGAGUUUUUUGAAACUUAUUGAACUUCAAAUUUAUGACACCGAUUUGGUGCGAUGGAGACCUCAACGUGGAAGCUUCCCGGAGCUUCGUAGACUAGGCAUGCUGCAUUGCUACAAAUUACAACAGCUCGAUUGGCCGUAUGAUCGCUCUUGGAUAGAGAUCAUUACUUUACGCGAGUGCAAUCCUUUAGCUGUCGCUUGUGCCAAGGAAUUAAAAGACAAGUUUUCCUUUCAACUUUUCGUCAAAUCUUCUUUUUUAGGUCAAGUGACUCUGCGACUUGCCUAACAGGUUAGUGUUACUACUUUGCAAUAUUACGUCUUAAUGUUUCUGUUAUGGUCAUAGUGUUUGAGAUUGUCCAUCUAUCGAUUUUCAGGCAAAUGAAAGAGACGAUCGAGAGUUGCUUCCCCUGCCGCAGGUGAGUUUCUGCUGUCUAUGUAGAUUACUAGUAACUUGCUUAACAAACGUCGAGGCCUUUGUAUUACGAGCUGCUGUGUUUGAAGAUCUCUUCGCAAGAUUCUUAAGGAGUUCACUUGUUCAAGGCGCCAUAAGGUAACUUCUUUAUAAUGCAUAAUAACCUAUAAAUGAAUCGAUUAACUUGAAAGUAUUGGGCUCGUUAGCUUGCAACACGUUCGUGUAUAGCAUUAAUUGUGAGCAUCAUAUAUUGCUACUCGUUGGCUUCUUUGCAUUGUAGGUAUGAAUCGCCUUAUUGGCGAGGAAUUGCAGCUAGACGGAUCCAACUCGCGUGGAGACGCAGAAAGAUGCAAACGAAUCGAGCUGAGUCAAGUCGAGUAGAUUCCUCAAGCUCACCGUCAUCUCAGACUAGAAGCAGACGCAGAUAAGACUCGUUGGAGUAACGGAUUCUAGCCAACUGAAAGGUUCGAUAGCGUGUUCGUGCUCGUACGUAAGAUGAGGUUCCUCUCUUCCACUCUGCCGAAGCCACUGUGUUUGUGUAAAUGUUGCUAACUCAUAUGAAGUGCUCUUGAUUUUAGAUCGAGUUAUAGAAUUAAUCAAGAUUUUAUGUUAAUUUUAUUAGUAACCGUAGGAGUUGUUGGUUUAGCUAUGAAGUAAACUUUUUUAUUUAUUUUUGAUAAAUUACAGUAUUAAAAAGAAAUUUAAAGGUCGCGCCACAUGAGAUUCGAAUCCAAGACUUUUGGCGUUAAGCAUUAAUAAAAUAUCUAAGGCAUUUAUCAACUAACCUAUUGCCUAUGAAUUAACAUACACUAAUUGGGCUUCUCUAUAUAAUAAAUAAAUUUUCGGCCCAAUAAAAAAUAUAAGCCCAGCUCCAUCAUUUAUCUUUUAAAUUCUGCCUAACUAUAAUCCAUUUUUAUUCCUUGAAUUGAUAACAAAGAAGCAAUUAAAACACCAAUUUACUCAAAUUAAAAGCUCAACAAUUCAACAUCAAAAACCAGAUUUUGAGUUGGGCUGAAUUCCCCAUGGCAUAAUUUUCUUCUAUUCCGACUUGGGCCCAACAAUUAUAUAAUACACAAAAAAUAACCUUAAAAUAAAAUAUGUACAUAAUAUGAGUAAAACUAACAGAAAAUGUUAUAUAUGAUGCUGAGGCAGUUAGGAAAAAUAAGUGUGUGUGCAUUUUCCCAAUCAAAUACAUAUCUUAAGUUUGUGAAAUGCUAUUGUGUUUUAAUUGAUUAAGAGUUGUGAGGUUAAAAAUGUUGUUGAUUUAGCUAUGAAGUGAAUCUGAUUAAGAGCUCUCGUUGUCAAAGAAGAAAAGAAAAGAAUUGAUUAAUUAUCAUUCAUAAAAUUUCUAAAGCAUUUUUAUCAGCUAACCUAUUACGGUAUUACCUAUCAAUUGGGCUUCUUCAUAUAAUAAACAAAAUUUCGGCCCAAUACAAAAAGUUAAGGCCCAACUCCAUCAUUUAUCUUUUAAAUUAUGCCUCAGUAUUAAAAGGCAUCAAAUUCUACUCAAUUUCUGUAGAAGACAUUCAAAACCCAUGGCACUUUAGAUAUUCCACCAUAGAGAACUAUUAUUAAUCUUCUAUAAACAAAAAAUAAAAAUAACAACUUGACACGGGCGGGCCGACCCAUUUUGACAACUCUAAUUUUACCUAGUAUAGGCUGUAUAGCAUCUAAGGCCAAGUAAUUACUAAUUGAUAGUAAUUGAAAAUUUAGGUAUAAUCGAAUUGAGUUUGUUGCAAACCAAAAUUUUCAUAUCUCACGCAAUGACUACGUGGAAGGCAACAUCUCAAUACCACUCAGCUUAGGGCUGAAAUGAUCAAAGCGGAGAAAGAAAAACGCAACACAAUAGCAUUGAUGGCAUGCAUAUAAAAGGAGAAUUUGUGCCAAAUUAAAACUUAUGGUAUUUUAUAUAGAAUGGUUAAUAGUGUUUUAUGUCUCGAACUUUCAGCAUUUUCUAUAAAAUGUCUCGAACUUUCAUCUUCUCCUAAAAAGUCCCGAACUUUCAAUUUUUUCCAUAAAAUGUCUCGCUAUACAAUUUUUUCCACAAUAACCUAUCUCGCGCGGAUGAAAUAUUUUGAAAAUCUCCAUCAUUGAAAAACCAUAUUAGGAACCUCGGUUGGUGGAAAAAGUUGAAAGUUCGGGACUUUUUAGGAGAAAAUGAAAGUUCGGGAUAUUUUAUGGAAAAUGCUGAAAGUUCAGGACAUAAAACACUAUUAACCCUAUAUAGAAUAAAGAACUAGGGGAAUACAACUUAUGCUUUAUGUUGCCUUGGUCAUUUAGAAAAAAAUCUAAAAACUUUUUAUUUCCAUAUAAUACCUGUACCUAAUGCAUAUGUUGCUCAUAUCACUCACGUUAACUAAUUAGUGAGGGAAAAAAAAAAAAAAAACGUAUACAGAAACACUACGUAGAAUUCAUGUUGUAACUGUAUUAACUGUAUAGAUUAUGAUAGUAUCUCCUAACAUCCCAUGCUGAUUAUUAUUCUUCCAACUUCCCCUCAGGCGCUAGCUUUCACCAAAAACAAAAGAAAACAACAGUAGAAAAUUUUGGAAGGAAUGAACUCUGCUCGAAAACUACUCAAUUGUAGUGAAGAAAGUAAGAAAUGCACAAGCAAAUGAUCGUUAUUAAUGGUGAAACUAGAUUGUUCAGUCAUCAUAAGCAUAGAGACGAAAAUGUUAGAGAUACUUAAAACAUUUUUAAUCUAAUAAAGCACAACACCAACCAUACAUCCAUAUUGAAGAACUUGAUCUCGCACUGUCAUUGGCUCUAUUCCCCUGCCUGCACAUUGGCUCUAAUAUUUUAAACUCUUCUUUUGGCAUUGAAUCAAAUCGCUGAUACCAAAAAAUAAAACUUGCCUCUUAAGUGUAGCUACCAGCUCGAUCACUUGGUAUCACACGCAGGACCUAUGAUGAGAUUGAAUGGUACCUCAAUCUCCUUGGCGAGGCUGACAUUUUUGAAACCCACAGAGCGGUGGAAGGAUUUCUUGGCGAUGGCGUUGGUGAAGCAUUUGUCUAUGGUGUCCUCGACCGCGUACACCGCAUCCCUCAUCUGCCUCUCCAGCAGGGACGGAGCCAGGAAUUAAGUUCGGGGGCAGCCCCCGAGAAAUUUUUUUUGGGCAUUCUGUAUAUUUAAGGUAUUUUUUUAUUAAAAUACGAGCAUAAUACUAAUAAUAACGAACAAUAUUUUCAUAGAUUAUAUAGUUUCAAUAUAUCACAAAACUUUUUUUGGACAUUCCGUAUAUUUAAGACAUUUUUUAUUAAAAGGAAAGCAUGAUAAUAAUAAUAACAAACAACAUGUUCAUAGAUUAUAUAUUUUCUAUAUAUUACAAAUUAGUUUCAAUACAUUAUAUUUUUUUUUUGCAUUUCAUACAUAUUAGGCAUUUUUUUAUUAAAAGACAAGUAUAAUAGUAAUAAUAACGAACAAUAUUUCAUAGAUUAUAUAGUUUUAAAUAACAGAAUUAUCCUUAAAUUAAGUAUAUAUGAGAGAAUAUAAUAACCAAAUACUCUUUUAUAAAACAAAAUUAAUUUAUAAUAGGUAUAAACAUAUAUCUAUAUAUAUUUUAAAAUUUAAAAAAAAAAAAAAACUACAAAAUUUAGGAGGGGGCUCUAGCCCCCCUAGCCCCCCUGGCUCCGUCAGUGCUCUCCAGUAUCCUUAACGGAUCUUCCUUCUUCUUCUUCUCCGCCAUCUGCUUGAGGAAACCUUUGAGUGAAGCCAGGUCGCUCUUCAGCUGCUCCAACUCAUUCUCCGCCCCGAAGAUCAGAUCGGCGUACCCUAUCACCACCUCCUUCACUUGCUCCAGCAAGAAUGCCACUGCAGCCUCCCCCAUCUCAAUUCUCCAAGGGAGAGAGAGAGUGUGUGAGUGUGUGUGAGAGAGAGAGAGAGACUGGUUAUUGUAGUUGAAUUUCAAACUAUGGUCUUAUUGUGGGGCUGAGCAUUCGGGCAAUUUGGGUUGAAAACGAACCGUAGUGGAAAAAUCCGAACCCAAACCGCCCCUAAAUUUUUAAACCGAACCAAACCGUUUCAGUUGCUCAAACCGAACAGUAAAUUUUUAGUUUGGUUUGAUUCGAUUUGGCAUAAACCGUUUCAAUUUUUUUUUAAAGGAGAGAGAGAGAGUAUUCGGGAGAGAGUGUGUGUGUGAGAAAGAGAGGUACUGUGGUUAUUGUAGUUGAAAGUUCAAACUAUGGUCUAGUAGGGAAUAUAGUAGGAAUGAGCAACGAAGAUAAUUCACUUUCCACAAAAAAGUCCAAUAAUUGAGGAGAGAGAGAAAAAAAAACAUUUGCGCAAACUUGCACUGAUAUUGAUAUCGAUGUCAGUGGUUUCACACUGAACGGAUAAAUUUCUUUGGCGUUUUCUUGGGCAGAGGAUGUUCGGCACUGGUACCCUUGCACGGAGUCUCGUGGGCGGUACAUCACAAACUAUCCAUUCACAGCACAUUGAUGCUCGAUUUGAAGAGCUGCAGCAGCAGCUUCAAGAGGAUCGUGAGCAUAGACUCCGUAAAUCCCUCGGUAAAUUUACCGAGGAAAAUUUCCCACGGUAAUAAUUUUAUCGAAUUUAACGACGGGCUCUUUUAAUCGGUGAUCUCUCGGUAAACAAUAUUACCGAAGGAAAUUAUAUAUUUACCGAGGGAAAUUUUCCUCGUUAAAAAAUUAAUUUUUUGUUGUGAUUUUACAUAAGAAAUUUUCCUAUAGAAAUUUUAUGCGUUGACUUUUUUAUGAGUUCGUGCAAAAGUUGUUCCCAUUGGUUGUCAUUAAAUAAAAAGUAAUGUUAAUUGUCGAUAAGGCACUCUCUUUUGUUUUCAUCUUUUUAAGAUGUAGAAUUGUGAAUUGCUUAUUUAAUUAUAUAUUAGAUACCUUUUGUAAUUCUAAAAAAAAUACUACUAUCAUCUUUACAAUCCAACAUUUAAAAAAAAAGUAAUGUUAUUGUAAUUAAAAAAAAAUAUUACAAACGACAAUGAUGGAAUUGAUAUUUUUUUAUUGUAAUUUUAUUUAAAUUAUUGUAAUUUUUUUUAAUUCAUAUAUGGUUAAUUUUUUAUUUUAAUUAAAAUUUUAUUGUUAAAAUUAAAUACAUACACACAUGGAAUUGAUAAGCUUGGGCUGGGACCCAAUAUAAUUAUAUAUAGGAUAUUUUAUUAUUAGCUUUAUUGGCGUGCGUUUACUUUUACGAAAACUAGUGGAAGCCAUGUGUUUUCACACUUCUUUCAUAAUUUUCAAGUGGUUGAUUGCUCAUUCUUAAUAAUUACAAUCUUCGGUUGCUUUGUUUCUUGCUACAAUUCUUCCACACAAUUGCAUUCAAAAUCAUCAAUAGAUCGAUUUUACCAUUACAUUAUACACAUCUUUUCAAAUCAUUUACUAAAAUUCUUGAAUGUGGUUUUGAAUGUUUCUGAAAUUGUAUCAAAACCAGCUGCCGCCGCCUUCGAGAGGUAAGCAGAGAGCUGAGAUCUAUCAUUUGUUUCGUCUGCGUUUGCUUAUUAUAAUUCCUUCUUCUUCUUCUUCGUUUCUUUCUUAGGCAACUGAAUUUUAUUCUGGGUUAAUUGCAGUUUAGUUUAAGCUUCAUUUUGGAGGAAAAUUGCAGAGCUAAGCAAUUUCAUUUCAACAAUAUAUCGUAUCUCAGCUGAUAAUUUGGGUAUGGCGGCUUUUGGUGCGGCGGCUUCUCUCAAGAAUACGAUUCUGCGUAUUCUGGAAUCGUCUCGCAUUUCUCUCGUUUCCCACUCUCCACAAAUCUUGCAACCUGCCUACGACCAGAUGGAUCGCUUGCAGAAAGUUCUGCUCAAAUUGGACGAGACCAGCUGCAGCAAGAUCAGGACGGAGGUGAAUGCUUUGGAUGAACUCAUAAAAGAGGCAGUUUGGGAAUUCGAAGAUUUACUCGAAUCCCAUAUCUUACCUCAGAUUCUUCCACAGCUCGAAAGCGGGAGAAACAACUUGUCAUUCUGUGUAGAUCUGCAGAGUCUGCAACACCAUGUUGAUUGCUUCAUCGAGAUGAUGGAGAUGAUGGAGGAAGAGUACAUCAUUGAAAUGGAGAAUAUGGCUGAAGAAGAAGGCGAGCCUGUUUCCUCAAGAAUCAAUUUUGGUGGAAUUAUCAAAUCAAAGAUGGUUGGCUUAUCUGAUGAAUUUCAAAAAGCUAUAGAUUAUCUCCUUGAAGAAAAUAUCUACUAUUCGAUUAUUGGGAUGGCGGGCGUUGGAAAGACAACUCUUGCUAAGCAUAUUUUUGAAGAUCCAUCAAUUCGGAGCCAUUUUGAGUUUCGAGCAUGGGUCAAAGUGGGCAGAAAAUGCGAACCCAAUGAACUAUUACGUUGCGUUCUAGCUCAAGUGGAUCCCAACGCUUACCGAAUGCUUGCCCAAGGAGAAGAUGAUGAUGAGGAAUUAGUCGGACUAUUGAAAGAAAAAUUGCAGGAUAAGAAAUGCCUCAUCGUGUUGGAUGAUGUUUGGGAGGAACAAGCAGUGGAUCGCUUGAUAAAUUGCUUGCGAGAAAUGAAUACUCUUGGAUGGAUUCAGUUCUUACUUACAAGUAGACGACCAUACAUGCAGCAUGGGCGCAUGAGAUUGAGCUUGUUGAAUGAAGGUGUUUGGUGAGAAGGUGUUUAGUGAAGGCGGUUUCCCUCCUCAACUUGAGGAACUGGGAGAGAAGAUUGCUGAGAAAUGUGAAGGUCUUCCUCUUAUGAUAGUCACAGUUGCAGAGCUCCUAUCAAAAGCCGACAAGACCCCAGAAUACUGGACUGAGGUAGCCUACAAACAACACAACUCACUUUUCAUGGAUGCAUAUAAUCAAAUAUCAGAGGUACUUUUCCCAAGUUAUGACUACUUACCCCAACAUUUAAAAAUGUUUUUCCUCUAUAUGGGAGCUUUCCCUCCAUAUACUGAUCAGAAUCCAUUCCAUAUCAAUAAUCUUUUGGGUGCUGAGGGAUUUCUUGAACUGAACGAUGUUAGAAAAAGUUUUGAAGAUUUAUGGGACAAGCUUUCUAACUCGUAUCAUCUUGUUCUCGACACAAAAAAUUUGUGGUAUUCCAAUAGACGUUAUCGCGUGCAUUCUUGUUGGCAGCACUUAUGUAAGGUAGAAGCUAGUAGGAUCAAGUUUCUACAUGUCUUACGAGGUUGUGAUGAUGUUAUAAAAGAUCAGCGCCGCUUGUGUGCCCAUUGGAACAGUUUAUUUGGCUUCAAACAAGUGUAUGAUUUGAUAAAAAGUGAUUGUGCAUCCACUGCCCGUUCUCUCCUUUGUUUUGGUCCUUAUCACCCAUAUCCAAUCCCAAUACAUGCCAUGGGUUUCAAGUUGCUCAGGGUACUAUAUGCUCUUAGAGUUCGAUUUUACCAUAUCCCAAUUGAAAUUUUGAAACUUGUUUGUCUGCGGUACCUUUCCCUAAAAUGCAACGGGGAGCUCCCUCCUUCCAUAUCCAACCUUUUUAACCUUCAAGUCUUGAUUAUCAAUCCACAUAUUUACAUUAAAAAGCGUGGAGUUCAGUCUUAUAUGCCUGUGCAAAUUUGGAACAUGCAAGAACUAGAGCAUCUUGAGAUAAGGGGAAGGGACAUACCAACCCCUAAUACUGAUGAUGCUACCUUGAACAUACUCAGCUCACUUUAUGGUGUGAGUGCAAACAGUUGUACAAUGGAAGUUCUCAAAAGUAUUCCUAAUUUAAAGGAAUUAGGAAUUCAAGUGGAGUUGAAGCCUUAUGAUGACGACGAUGAUGAUGAAAGAAACCCAUCGAGUUGCUUGGGUUAUAUCUCCCAACUCCAGAAUCUGGAGAGACUUGAAUAUUGGGUUAGCAAUCCUGAGAUAAAGUAUGAGUGUAAUACGAUUUCUCUUUCAAUGUUUCCCCCAAGUCUGAAGGUGUUAACGUUGUCUGGGUUAGGGGGUAGUCCUUGGAAUUACAUGAAUGACAUUGGUUUGCUGCUGCCAAAUCUCGAGAUUCUCAUAUUAGACCACUAUGCAUUUCGAGGCCCAGAGUGGGACAUAACAUCGGGGAGUUUUUUGAAACUUAUUGAACUUGUAAUUGAAGACACCGAUUUGGUGCGAUGNNNNNNNNNNNNNNNNNNNNNNNNNNNNNNNNNNNNNNNNNNNNNNNNNNNNNNNNNNNNNNNNNNNNNNNNNNNNNNNNNNNNNNNNNNNNNNNNNNNNNNNNNNNNNNNNNNNNNNNNNNNNNNNNNNNNNNNNNNNNNNNNNNNNNNNNNNNNNNNNNNNNNNNNNNNNNNNNNNNNNNNNNNNNNNNNNNNNNNNNNNNNNNNNNNNNNNNNNNNNNNNNNNNNNNNNNNNNNNNNNNNGUGUUUGAGAUUGUCCAUCUAUCGAUUUUCAGGCAAAUGAAACAGACGAUCGAGAGUUGCUUCCUCUGCCGCAGGUGAGUUUCUGCUGUCUGUAGAUUACUAGUAACUUGUUCAACAAAUGUCGAGGCCUUUGAAUUACGAGCUGCUGUUUUUGAAGAUCUCUUCGCAGGAGUUCACUUGUUCAAGGCGCCAUAAGGUAACUUCUUUAUAAUGCAUAACCAAUAAAUGAAUCGAUUAACUUGAAAGUAUUGGGCUCGUUAGCUUGCAACACGUUCGUGUACAGCAUUGUGAGCAUCAUAUAUUGCUACUCGUUGACCUCUUUGCAUUAUAGGUAUGAAUCGCCUUAUUGGUGAGGAAUUGCAGGUAGACGGAUCCAACUCGCGUGGAGAUGCAGAAAGAAGCAAACGAAUCGAGCUGAGUCAAGCCGAGUAGAUUCCUCAAGCUCACCGUCGUCUCAGACUAGAAGCAGACGCAGAUAAGACUUGUUGGAGUAACGGAUUCUAGCCAACUGAGGUUCGAUAGCGUGUUCGUGCUCGUACGUAAGAUGAGGUUCCUCUCUUCCACUCUGCCGAAGCCAUUGUGUAGAUGUUGCUAACUCAUAUCAAGUGCUCUUGAUUUUAGAUCGAGUUAUAGAAUUAAUCAAGAUUUGAUGUUAAUUUUAUUAGUAACCGUAGGGGUUGUUGGUUUAGCUAUGAAGUAAACUUUUUUUUUGAUAAAUUACAGCAUUAAAUAAAGAAAUUUAAAGACCGCGUCACAUGAGACUCGAACUCAAGACUAAUUGGGCUUCUCUAUAUAAUAAAUAAGUUUCCGGCCCAAUACAAAAUAUAAGCCCAGCUCCAUCGUUUAUCUUUUAAAUUCUGCCUAACUAUAAUCCAUUUUUAUUCCUUGAAUUGAUAACAAAGAAGCAAUUAAAACACCAAUUUACUCAAAUUAAGCUCAACAAUUCAACAUCAAAAUCCAGAUUUUGAGUUGGGCUGAAUUCCCCAUGGCAUAAUUUUCUUCUAUUCGGACUUGGGCCCAAUAUGUAUAUAAUACACAAAAAAGUAACCUUAAAAUAAAAUAUGUACGUAAUAGGAGUAAAACUAACAGAAAACAUUAUAUGUGAUGCUGAGGCAAUUAAGAAAAAUAAAGUGUGUGCAUUUUAAUUUCCACAUCAAAUACAUAUCUUAAGUUUGUGAAAUGCUAUUGUGUUUUAAGACUGAGGAAAAUAAUUAAAUUAUACUUCCUCCGUCCUCAAAUUAUAACUUCAUAGAAGGAAGGAACACGAGUUUUAAGACGAAAAAGUAAAAAGAUGAAAAGUAAGGAUAAAUGGGGUAUUGAGAGUGGUGAAAAGAUGAAAAAUAAGGGUAAAUGAGGAAUUAAUUGUGGUGGAGUAGUGCCCAAAUAUAGAAAGAUUUUUUUUUUGAACGGACCGAAAAUAAAAGUUAGAAAGUUAUUUGCGGACGGAGGAGUAUGUAUGUUUAGAAUAUCUAGCAAAACCAAUAAAAGAUCACCAUGAACUAUAAUCUUUUUAUCCCUCAAUCCAUCUCACAUUUGAAUUUUCCUGUAUAUAAAUUCAUUAGAAUUUAUAUAUACACUAAUAUAAAAAAAAUGUGUUGGGCACAAACUAUAGAUUGUCUAUUAUAUUCAUAUUACAUACUCCCUUCGUCCCCUAAAUAACUUCUUAGUAGGGGACGACACGAGUUUUAAAGAAAAAUUGUUAAGUGUAUUGAUAAAAAAAAAACUUUUAUAAUUAAUAUUGAAAGUGGUGAAAAUGUGUUAUAAUUAAUAUUGAGAAUGAUGGAAGGUUGAAAAGUAAUAAUAAAUAAAGUAUAUUAGUGGUAGGGUAAUGUCCCAAAAUGAAUAUGAAGUUAUUUGGGGGACUGAAGGAGUAUUUAAUUUUAAGAGUAAUUAUAUAAAGUAUAUAUUAUAUAUCUAGAAGAAUAUAUUAAUUCAUUAGACAUUAAAGUACUACAAAAAUAUGUCAAUUAAUUAUAUUACCUUAUCAUAAAUCUAUUUGAUGAAUCUGAAAAUCUUUUUAGAAUCCUGAAAAAAUAUCCUAUGAAAUCUAACUAUUAACUAAAUAAAUGAAAAUUCAAUAUUAUAUAAAUAAAUAGGUUACAUAUAAAGUGUACUCCCUCCGUCCCACGAAUCUUGAUACGCUUGGUUUCAGCACGGGAAUUAAGAAGUUGUAGAUUAGUAUUUUAAGUGUGUAGUUAAUGAAGUAUAAAAGUGAUAAAGUAGGAGAGAAAAUGUAAUAUAAGUGAUAAAGUUAAUCGAUAGCGUGUUCGUGCUCGUAAAAUGAGUUUCUCUCUUCCACUCUGCAGAAGCCAUUGUGUAGAUGUUGCUAACUCAUAUAUAUAAAGUGCUCUUGAUUUUAGAUCGAGUUGUAGAAAUCAAGAUUUGAUGUUAAUUUCAUUGCACUUAAAUAUUUGUUUUUCUAACUAGUGGUAAUAAUAUGUGUUCUAUUUUAAGUCACAGGCUGUUCCCUCAAAGUUGAGAGUUUGCAUUAUUUUUAUCAAGCAGUUUGAUCGAUUUUGAAUUAUUUAGAUUAUCACAAGGAUUUGCAUAGGUCUGCCUUGCAAUAUUACUUAAUGUUUCUGUUAUAGUCACAGUGUUUGAGAUUGUCCAUCUACCGAUUUUCAGGCAAGUGAGACGUCGCGUUAUCCCAUGAUUUCGAUUGGAUUGUGAAACUUGAGUGCUGAAUUGUGUUUGUAAUCAAAAUUGUUGUAAGUUGGAUUUGUGUGAAAACAUUAAUCGCUUAUUCAGUUCAAGGAUUGUAAUAUUUGUGAGUUAAGCAUAGUUUUAACUUUGUUUUCAUAUUGUGUGUAAUCAGUUUAUGUGUUUUUGGCUUAAAAAUAUAUAGCUUAAAAUUUUAACAUUAUGGCAAUAUACUAAUUAAUUUCUGGCUUCAUUUUUCAAAUUCAUGAGAUCCCUCAGUAGAAGCUCAUCAAUGUGAACAUUUGCUGAGAUGAAGUAUUUGGAUGAACUUUUUCCAAUAGGGCGUGUUUGAUAUUGGCUAAUACACUGUAUUAGCUAAUUUAGUACAGAUCAGUCUAGUGUUUGGUAUUAUUUAGUAAUAAUGUGGAUGACCCGGUUUAAUCCCACGACCCAGUAUUAUUAAUCCAGAUUUCUUAGGAUUAAUUAUACCACCUCUCCCCUAGGAUUAACUUAAACCAAGAUAUUCUGUAUUUAGCCAUGAUAGCAAACACCAACUCAAUAUUAAUAAUCUGUCAUUAUCCACGCUAAAUAUCCUAAUUACAAAUUAUCCAACAUAAUCCUUUACUGAAAACCAAAGAACCCAUGCUGUUGCCGUCUUCUUUUUCUUAUUUUAUCAGUGAUGACUACAGAAAAGCCAUGAUUUGGUGGGAGUUUGUAUGAACAAAAUUAUUGUGGUAAUUAAGUUUGUUCUUCUCCGUUGUAAAUAAAUAACUGCAGGAGUUGUGAGGUUAAAAAUGUUGUUGAUUUAACUAUGAAGAAAAGAAAAGAAUUGAUUAAUUAUCAUUCAUAAAAUUUCUAAAGGCCCAACUGGGCUUCUUCACAUAAUAAACAAAAUUUCGGCCCAAUACAAAAUCAAGGCCCAACUCCAUCGUUUAUCUUUUAAAUUCGGCCUCACUAUUAAAUUAAAAGGCAUCAAAUUCAACUCAAUUUCGUUAGAAGACAUUUCAAAAUCCAUGGCACUUUGGGGUAUGAAAGAAAAUUACUAUCACUUUCAAUUUGGAUUUAAAUGAUUGAAAUAAGAGAAGACUAAAUAAUUCAUAAAUUUCGACCCCUUUUGGAUUUUAUUAUUUUUAAUAAGUUAUUUUUUCAUAAUUAAAUUAAGUUUCACAAUUCUUUACUUCUUUAAUUAGUUUAAUUGCCACAUAACUAAUUAUGAUCUUUCGAGCCUUGAAAAAAAAAAAAAAAAAAAACCCAAGUUAAAAAAUGUGUUGCAAAUAGGGCUGUAUACGAACCGAGCCGAGCCGAAUACCUCCAGGCUCGGGCUCGGUUCGUUAAGAUUUGGUUCGGCUCGAGCUCGAAUUCGAGCCUAAAAAUGAGCUCGAGCUCGGCUCGCUCAUAUAAUACCAAGCUCGAGUUUGGUUCGAAUUCGGCUCGUUAAUUAUUCGUUUAUCUCGAGCUCGAGCUCGGCUCGUUAAUUAUUCGUUUAUCUCGAGCUCGGCUCGAAUUUAAAGCUCGAUUUCAAAUUCAAACUCGAAUUCGAGCUCGGUUCGAAUUAUUUAUAUAUUAAGGUUUCAUUAAAAUAAAAAAAUUAUAUUUGUUCAUAUAUUACUAGACUAUUUAUGAAUCAUAAUUUAUAAUUUAUUUUUAACAAAUAGAUAAUUUAUCAAGUUAGUAGUAAUUUUUUUUUUUAAUUAUGAGUGUUAUUUUUAUUAUUUAAAAAAUAUUUAACAAAUAAAAUAUAUAUAAUUAUUAUUUAAUGAACCUAUUCGCGAGCCUAUUCGCGAACAUAUUCGUGAACCUAUUCGUGAGCCUUUUCGCAAACAUAUUCGCAGCCUAUUCGCGAAUGGCUCGCGAAUAGGUUCGAGCCGAACAUGUUCACGAGCUCACGAGCCGAACAUGCACAGGCUCGAGUUCGGCUCGAUAAUUUUAUCGAGCUCGGAUUCGGGCUCGAGUUCGGCUCGUUUAGAAAAUGAACGAAUUUCGAACGAGCUUUUUUCGAGCCGAGCCCCGAAUAGUUCACGAGCGGCUUGGUUCGUUUACACCCCUAGUUGCAAACACUACGAAUAAUUUUCCAACAUGAGGUAGGUGUAUUAAUUUAAAUAUGAUCACAAAAAUAUGAUCACAUUAAAAUAUGAUCUCAUAAUUAUAUAUAGGAUACUUUAUUAUUAGCUUUAUUGGCGUGCGUUUUCUUUUACGAAAAGUAGAGGAAGCCAUGUGUUUUCACACUUCUUUCAUAAUUUUCAAGUGGUUGAUUGCUCAUUCUUCAUAAUUACAAUCUUCGGUUGCUUUGUUUCUUGCUACAAUUCUUCCACACAAUUGCAUUCAAAAUCAUCAAUAGAUCGAUUUUACCAUUACAUUAUACACAUCUCUUCAAAUCAUUUACUAAAUUCUUGAAUGUGGUAUUGAAUGUUUCUGAAAUUGUAUCAAAACCAGCUGCCGCCGCCGAGAGGUAAGCAGAGAGCUGAGAUCUAUCAUUUGUUUCAUCUGCGUUUGCUUAUUAUAAUUCCUUCUUCUUCUUCUCCGUUUCUUUGUUAGGCGACUGAAUUUUAUUCUGGGCUAAUUGCAGUUUAGUUUAAGCUUCAUUUUGGAGGAAAAUUGCAGAGCUAAGCAAUUUCAUUUCAACAAUAUAUCGUAUCUCAGCUGAUAAUUUGGGUAUGGCGGCUUUUGGUGCGGCGGCUUCUCUCAAGAAUACGAUUCUGCGUAUUCUACAAUCGUCUCGCAUUUCUCUCGUUUCCCACUCUCCACUAAUUGGACGAGACCAGCAGCAGCAAGAUCAGGACAGAGGUGAAUGCUUUGGAUGAACUCAUAAAAGAGGCAGUUUGGGAAUUCGAAGAUUUACUCGAAUCCCAUAUCUUACCUCAGAUUCUUCCACAACUCCAAAGCGAGAGACACAACUUGUCAUUCUCUGUAGAUCUGCAAAGUUUGCAACACCAUGUUGAUUGCUUCGUCGAGAUGGUGAAGAUGAUGGAGGAAGAGUACACUAAUGAAAUGGAGAAUAUGGCUGAAGAAGAAGGCGAGCCUAUUUCCUCAAGAAUCGAUUUUGGUGGAAUCAACUCAAAGAUGGUUGGAAAAUCUUAUGCAUUUCAAGACGCCAGAGAUAAUCUUCUUGAAGAUAAACACUAUUCGAUUAUUGGGAUGGCGGGCGUUGGAAAGACAAAUCUUGCUAAACAUCUUUUUGAAGAUCCAUCAAUUCGGAGCCAUUUUGAGUUUCGAGCAUGGGUCAAAGUGGGCAGAAAAUGCGAGCCCAAUGAACUAUUACGCUGCGUUCUAGCUCAAGUGGAUCCCAACGCUUACCGAAUGCUUGCCCAAGGAGAUGAUGAUGAUGAGGAAUUAGUUGGACUAUUGAAAGAAAAAUUGCAGGAUAAGAAAUGUCUCAUCGUGUUGGAUGAUGUUUGGGAGACACAAGCAAUAAGUCGCAUGAUAAAUUGCUUGAAAGAAGGGAAUAUUCGUGGAGGGAUUGGAUACUUGCUUACAAGUAGACAACAAAUAACACUCCCGCAGCUUACGGGCAUAAGACUGAACUUGUUGAAUGAAGAAGAAAGUAAGAAAUUACUUGGUGAGAAGGUGUUUGGUGAGAAGGUGUUAGUGAAGACGGUUUCCCUCCCAACUUGAGAAUGGAGAGAAGAUUGCAGAAAUGUGAAGGCUUCCUCUUAUGAUAGUCACGUUGCAGAGCUCCUAUCAAAAGCCGACAAGACCCAGAAUAUGGACUGAGGUAGCCUGCAAACAACAAUCACUUUCGGGAGCAUAUAAUCAAAUAUCAGAGGUCUUUUCCCAAGUAUGACUAUUACCCCAACAUUUAAAAAUGUUUCCUCUAUAUGGGACUUUCCCUCCAUAUAUAUCAUACCACAUACACUUAUGUUGGUGCUGAGGCUUCUUAAUGAAUGUUGAAAAAGUUUGAGGUUUUGGGAAAAGCUUUCUAGGUAUCAUCUUGUUCUCGACACAAAAAUUGUGGUUGAAUAAGAGUAUCGCGUGCAUUCUGUUGGCAGCACUUUGUAAGGUAGAAGCUAGAGAUCAAGUUUCUACAUGUCUUACGAGGUUGUGAGAUGUAAAAAGACCAGCGCGCUUGUGUGCCCAUUACAACAGUUUAUUUGCUUCAAACAAGUGUAUGAUUCGAUAAAAAGUGAUUGUGCAUCCACUGCCCGUUCUCUCCUUUGUUUGGUCCUUAUCACCAUAUCCAAUCCCAAUACAUGCCAUGGGUUUCAAGUUGCUCAGGGUACUAUAUGCUCUUAGAGUUCGAUUUUACCAUAUCCCAAUUGAAAUUUUGAAACUUGUUUGUCUGCGGUACCUUGCCCUAAAUUGCAACGGGGAGCUCCCUCCUUCCAUAUCCAACCUUUUUCACCUUCAAUUCUUGAUUAUCGAUCCACAUAUGUACAUUAAAAAGCGUGGAGUUCAGUCUUAUAUGCCUGUGCAAAUUUGGGACAUGCAAGAACUAGAGCAUAUUCAGAUUUGGGGAAGGACCUACCAACCCCUAAUACUGAUGAUGCUACCUUGAACAAACUCAUCUCACUUGUUGGUGUGAGUGCAAACAGUUGUACAAGGGAAGUUCUCAAAAGAAUUCCUAAUUUAAAGGAAUUAAAUUGAAGUGGAGUUGAAGCCUUAUGAUGAUGAUGAUGAUGAAAGAAACCCAUUGAGUUGCUUGGGUUAUAUCUCCCAACUCCAGAAUUUGGAGAGACUUGAAUAUUGGGUUAACAAUCCCGAGAUAAAGUAUGAGUGUAAUACGAUUCCUCUUUCAAUGUUUCCAUCAAGUCUCAAGGUGUUACGUUUGUCUGGGUUAGGGGGGUAUCCUUGGAAUUACAUGAAUGACAUUGGUUCGCUGCUGCCAAAUCUCGAGAUUCUCAUAUUACGUUGCUAUGCAUUUCGAGGCCCAGAGUGGGACAUAACACCGGGGAGUUUUUUGAAACUUAUUGAACUUCGAAUUGAAGACACCGAUUUGGUGCGAUGGAGACCUCAACGUGGAAGCUUCCCGGAGCUUCGUAGACUAAGCAUGCGGCAUUGCUACAAAUUACAACAGCUCGAUUGGCCGUAUGACCACUCUUGGAUAGAGAUCAUUGAUUUACGCGAGUGCAAUCCUUUAGCUGUCGCUUGUGCCAAGGAAUUAAAAGACAAGUUUUCCUUUCAACUUUCGUCAAAUCUUCUUUUUGAGGUCAAGUGGAUCUGCAACUUGCCAACAGGUUAGUCUUACUACUUUGCAAUAUCAAGUCUUAAUGUUUCUGUUAUAGUCACAGUGUUUGAGAUUGUCCAUCUAUCGAUUUUCAGGCAAAUGAAAGAGACGAUCGAGAGUUGCUUCCCCUGCCGCAGGUGAGUUUCUGCUGUCUGUAGAUUACUAGUAACUUGUUUAACAAACGUCGAGGCCUUUGUAUUACGAGCUGCUGUUUUUGAAGAUCUCUUCGCAAGAUUCUUAAGGAGUUCACUUGUUCAAGGCGCCAUAAGGUAACUUCUUUAUAAUGCAUAACCUAUAAAUGAAUCGAUUAACUUGUAAGUAUUGGGCUCGUUAGCUUGCAAACACGUUCGUGUACAAUUUUCAAUAUCAAAAACCAGAUUUUGAGUUGGGCUGAAUUCCCCAUGGCAUAAUUUUCUUCUAUUCCGACUUGGGCCCAAUAAUUAUAUAAUACACAAAAAAUAACCUUAAAAUAAAAUAUGUACGUAAUAGGAGUAAAACUAACAGAAAACAUUAUAUGUGAUGCUGAGGCACUUAAGAAAAAUAAAGUGUGUGCAUUUUCCACAUCAAAUACAUAUCUUAAGUUUGUGAAAUGCUAUUGUGUUUUAAGACUGAGGAAAAUAAUUCAAUUAUACUUCCUCCGUCCUCAAAUUAUAACUUCAUAGAAGGAAGGAACACGAGUUUUAAGACGAAAAAGUUAAAAGAUGAAAAGUAAGGAUAAAUGGGGUAUUGAGAGUGGCGAAAAGAUGAAAAAUAAGGGUAAAUGAGGAAUUAAUUGUGGUGGAGUAGUGCCCAAAUAUAGAAAGAUUUUUUUUUUGAACGGACCGAAAAUAAAAGUUAGAAAGUUAUUUGCGGACGGAGGAGUAUGUAUGUUUAGAAUAUCUAGCAAAACCAAUAAAAGAUCACCAUGAACUAUAAUCUUUUUAUCCCUCAAUCCAUCUCACAUUUGAAUUUUCCUAAAAAAGGUAUAUAAAUUCAUUAGAAUUUAUAUAUACACUAAUAUAAAAAAAAUGUGUUGGGCACAAACUAUAGAUUGUCUAUUAUAUUCAUAUUACAUACUCCCUUCGUCCCCAAAUAACUUCUUAGUAGGGGACGACACGAGUUUUAAAGAAAAAUUUUAAGUGUAUUGAUAAAAAAAAAGUUUUAUAAUUAAUAUUGAAAGUGGUGAAAAUGUGUUAUAAUUAAUAUUGAGAAUGAUGGAAGGUUGAAAAGUAAUAAUAAAUAAAGUAUAUUAGUGGUGGGGUAAUGUCCCAAAAUGAAUAUGAAGGUAUUUGGAGAACUGAAGGAGUAUUUAAUUUUAAGAGUAAUUAUAUAAAGUAUAUAUUAUAUAUCUAGAAGAAUAUAUUAAUUCAUUAGACAUUAAAGUACUACAAAAAUAUGUCAAUUAAUUAUAUUACCUUAUCAUAAAUCUAUUUGAUGAAUCUGAAAAUCUUUUUAGAAUCCUGAAAAAAUAUCCUAUGAAAUCUAACUAUUAACUAAAUAAAUGAAAAUUCAAUAUUAUAUAAAUAAAUAGGUUACAUAUAAAGUGUACUCCAUCCGUCCCACGAAUCUUGAUACGCUUGGUUUCAGCACGGGAAUUAAGGAGUUGUAGAUUAGUAUUUUAAGUGUGUAGUUAAUGAAGUAUAAAAGUGAUAAAGUAGGAGAGAAAAUGUAAUAUAAGUGAUAAAGUUAAUCGAUAGCGUGUUCGUGCUCGUAAAAUGAGUUUCUCUCUUUCACUCUGCAGAAGCCAUUGUGUAGAUGUUGCUAACUCAUAUAUAUAAAGUGCUCUUGAUUUUAGAUCGAGUUGUAGAAAUCAAGAUUUGAUGUUAAUUUCAUUGGACUUAAAUAUUUGUUUUUUUUAACUAGUGGUAAUAAUAUGUGUUCUAUUUUAAGUCACAGGCUAUUCCCUCAAAGUUGAGAGUUUGCCUUAUUUUUAUCAACCAGUUUGAUCGAUUUUGAAUUAUUUAGAUUGUCACAAGGAUUUUGCAUAGGUCUGCCUAAUAUCUUUGCAAUAUCACAUUUUUUAAUGUUCUUAUUAUAUUCACAGUGUUUGAGAUUGUCCAUCUACCGAUUUUCAGGCAAAUGAGAUAGCCGAUCAAAGGGGUCAGGCGUUGCGUUAUCCCAUAAUUUCGAUUGUUGUAUUACCACAUUGUCGUAUGAAUUUAAGGAUUGUGAAACCUGAGUGCUGAAUUUUGUUUGUAACCAAAAUUGUUGUAAGUUGGAUUUGUGUGAAAACAUGAGUCCCUUAUUCAGUUCAAGGAUUGUAAUAUUUGUGAGUUCUGCAUAGUUUUAACUUUGUUUUCAUAGUGUGUAUGUGUGGUUAAAGAUGUUGUUGAUUUAGCUAUGAAGAAGAAUCUGAUAUUCUGAUUAAGAGCUCUUGUUGUCUAAGAAGAAAAGAAUUGAUGAAUUAUCAUUCAUAAAAUUGGGCUUCUUCAUAUAAUAAACAAAAUUUCGGCCCCAUACAAAAUCAAGGCCCAACCUCCAUCAUUUAUCUUUUAAAUUUUGCCUCAGUGUCAAAUUAAAAGGCAUCAAAUUCAACUCAAUUUCUUUAGAAGACAUUCAAAUUAAAUCCAUGGCACUUUAGAUAUUCCACCGGUUAUCUUGUUAUAUUUAUGGUUGAAGUCACUAUGUGGAAAAUAGGACCUAAUGGUAAAAAACAUGAAUCAAACUUUCAAUAUUUUCAGAAAGAGGACUAUAUAUUACGAAAUUUGAAAAUAAGGACUAUAUUCAACAAAGUAAUGAAUCAAUCGUAGAUCUUGAUAAUCUAAGAGCUGAAAAUGGUUCUUAUUUUAUAUUCUAAGAAGUGUUUUUAUUUUAGCUCAUCCCAUCCAACUAAUAUCUAAAAAAUUGUGGUAAGAUAUAAACAGUAGAAUGAAUCAAUUAAAUAGACCAAAUCGUUAAUUGAAUAAUUAAAUAUAAUAUAUAUUAUAUUUAUAUUUUUUAUUUUAUCAAAUAAAAUUAUAUUAAUUAUGCGUACAAAGUGACAUUUAACAUAGUAUGAAAUUUUCUAACUGAGAUAAACGUGUUAAAAGAGUGGAAAAAGUGAGAAAAUAUAUGUAUUUCAUCAUUUUUUUAUUAAAGAAAAUGCAUCCCAAGACUUUAUCAAAUUGGUUCAAAACGAGAUAGAUAUAUAUAAUAUUGAGUCACAAAAGAUUAUACUGAACAUUGUCUGAAUCGCCAUCACAUGCUUUGCAUCGAGAUCAGGUAUUGAGAGCUGUUGGCUUUUGGUCCCAUUUGCCCAUUCCAACAUUAAUUUUCUCAUAUCCCCAUGCAAACUAUUAGUUUAUUACACCCUGAUUAUUUUCCUAUUCAUCUUGAAUAUAAGGAUUAGAAAUUUCACAUUCUUGAACUUUUUGCCUUACUCAACCUAUUUGGAGGAUUGGAAGUCUUCGCUUAAAUCAUGAUAUAAUUAACCUAAAGUUAGGAUGUUAUAUUUAUAAAAGACUUAAUAUAUUAAAAUACUCACUUCCAUAAUAUGUCUAUGUAAGGGGGUGGGUAUUUUUCAUAGACAUAUUAUGGGGGUGGGUACUUUUAAUUCCACCCCUUUAUAAAAUUGGUUUUGGCCUGAAAUUCAAUAAUUAUGGACAAAAAUACAUUGGAAAAAUAUAAUUUUGUUAUAAACUAGAGAUAAACAAGAGAAUAUAGAAGAUAAUACGAAUUCAGUGUAUUCAAUAUGAGGGCCAGAAGUUAGGGUUUUAGGGAGAUUUCUUGGUCAACACACAUAACAUAUAUCUAGAUGAUAUAUUUACAACAAAUUUUAUCUUUUAACUGUUGGACUUUUAUGUUGUACCCAAAUGCAAUCUUAUUGAUUGAAAANAACUUUCGUUUAUUUUAUCAUCAGUUCUAAUAUAUUUGAUCAUCUGCUGCUAAUAUUAAGGCCACAAUCGAAAUCUCUUUAACUUGAGCUUCAAAAUCCUCAAACCAAUUUUGCAGUCCGAUACAUAAAACUCUACCUCGAAUAGUUGACGAAACUCUAAUUCUGCAACGUCAAAUUGAUGGCGUAAUAAAAAGUUAUUUAGGAGGUUUUGUAGUUCAAGUCAAAGAUAUUUUGAUUGUGGUCUCAAUUUCAGUGAUCGAUAAUCAAAUAAGUCAAAAUUGAUGCAACAACAAUUAAAAGUGUGGCAGCCCGAUUUUGCUAAGGAUAGCUAAACCGAGAAAUCAACGAUUAAGGAUGAUCGGAUUAAAGAAGUGGUGAAAAAAAAGGCAUCGAUCAUAAACACUUAAAUCUCAUUUUAAAUAAUAACCAAAUUAAAUAUGCAAGAUGUUGGAGUUAAUUUUUAACUCCAUAAAACUUUCCUAAAGUUAUAAAAUUUAAUUGUAUUGUUUUGCCUUCUUCACGUGUUAUGUUGUGUUUACGAUAACAUCUUUUUACAUCACUUGUUGGUUUUUGUAAGGUUUCGGAGUAUUAUUCUUGAACUGAGUUUUGUUCUUUAGUGAGAGUGUCAUGUGUUUAAUAUCUAUGUCAUUGCAAAGGUAUUGAACGUGAAUUGUUCAUUCUCUAAUUAGUUUUCUUGACAUAUGGUGUCUUCUUCAUUUAUUUUUGUUCCGCUACUUUAUACUCCGCGUGCUGUUCCAAUAUUCCGCACAACAUUUUGAUCCAGACGAAGCAACACUUUCACAAGAAAUGAUAGCUAAUAAAAGCCGACAAGGUGCAUAGAUAAUUUAUAUAGGAAUUCUCUAAAAAAAAUUAUUUUAUUAAAGAGGUUUUACUAUAAAGUUUAGUAAUUUAUUUGAGUAUCAUUUUAAAGAGGUUUUACUCUCCAUCUUAAAAACAUAAAAUUUGUCCACUUUUUACAAUUUCGGACUGCAUUACUCUUAAUUUGGAUGGACUGGAUCGGAUUGGGCGUGUUGAUUCAGUGUUACUUUUUGGAUUGUACUAAUGUUAGUAAUUUGUUUUGUAAAUUAUAAUAAUUUAGAAUUAGAAUACAAAUGAUUUAUAAUUUAAUUUUAUUAGAAGUUUAAUUUGCCUUAAAUCCCUGAAAUUAAAAUUAAUUAUGUAAAAUAAACUUAACAAAUAAACAUCCCGAGGCAUUCAACGAUUAGUGAUGUGCACAUGGCGUCAACAAUGUCGAGGCAUUUGUGUGAAUCAAUGCAAUUUAAAAAUAAUAAUCCUUUAACAAUGGUGGAGACCCUCAAUCAACCACUCACUUUAACAAUUCUCUUCCACCUUCAAAAUCCUAAUCCUUCCCACCACCUACCGCCGUUGCCGUUGAUAUCUCAUAUUUCAAUCAAGUUAUGGCGGCUUUUGGUGCCGCAGCUUCUCUCAAGAAUACGAUUCUGCGUAUUCUACAAUCGUCUCGCAUUUCUCUCGUUUCCCACUCUCCACAAAUCUUGCAACCUGCCUACGACGAGAUGGAUCGAUUGCAGAAAGUUCUGCUCAAAUUGGACGAGACCAGCUGCAGCAAGAUCAGGACGAAGGUGAAUGCUUUGGAUGAACUCAUAAAAGAGGCAGUUUGGGAAUUCGAAGAUUUACUCGAAUCCCAUAUCUUACCUCAGAUUCUUCCACAACUCGAAAGCGAGAGAGACAACUUGUCUUUCUCUGUAGAUCUGCAGAGUCUGCAACACCAUGUUGAUUGCUUCGUCGAGAUGGUGAAGAUGAUGGAGGAAGAGUACACAAUGAAAUGGAGAAUAUGGCUGAAGAAGAAGGCGACCUAUUUCCUCAAGAAUUGAUUCUGGUGGAAUGAUCAA
rnacentral:lncRNA from 1 species